rnacentral:rRNA from 1 species
AUUAAGCUACUAAGAGCAUACGGUGGAUGCCUUGGCGUCAAGAGCCGAAGAAGGGCGUGGAUGGCUGCGAAAAGCCUCGGGGAGCUGUCAUCAAGCAUUGAUCCGGGGAUACCCGAAUGGGGGAACCCACCUGGGCAAUACCCAGGUACCGCUGGCUGAACACAUAGGCCAGACGGGGGGCACGGGGGGAACUGAAACAUCUAAGUACCCCCAGGAAAAGAGAUUAUUCCCUGAGUAGUGGCGAGCGAAAGGGGAACAGCCUAAACUCAUCCUGUGUGAUAGGCAGCAGCCGUUGCAGGGUGGGGGUUGUAAGGCUCAACGGGGUCCGCUGCUGCGGAUCCGAGGAGUUACAAAACUAGUCUCUAGCCGAAUGUGGACUGGAAAGCCCAGGCAAAGAGAGUGACACCCUCGUAGGUGAAAGGGACUAGACUCCUGUUGAUGACCUUGAGUACCACGGGGCACGCUAAUCCUGUGGGAAGCCGGGAGGCCCACCUCCCAAGGCUAAAUACUCUUGACGACCGAUAGUGAACAAGUACCGUGAGGGAAAGGUGAAAAGCACCCCGGUGAGGGGAGUCAAAAGAACCUGAAACCGUAUGCUUACAAGCAGUCGAAGGACAAUGUCCCUGAGGGGAUAGGUCUGACGGCGUGCCUCUUGGAGAAUGAGCCGGCGAGUUACUCUUUGUGGCAAGGUUAAGCCAGUGACAGGCGGAGCCGCAGCGAAAGCGAGUCUGAAUAGGGCGUGAGUCGAGCUUGCUCGACCAUAGUCGCAAGGAGUAGACCCGAAACCGGGUGAGCUACCCAUGGCCAGGCUGAAGCGGGAGUAAUGUCUCGUGGAGGGCCGAACCCACUAAUAUUGCAAAAUUAGGGGAUGAGCUGUGGGUAGGGGUGAUAUGCCAAACGAACCCGGAGAUAGCUGGUUCUCCCCGAAAUAGCUCUAGGGCUAGCGUCAUGUGUUCAGUAUCGGAGGUAGAGCACUGGAUCGGCUAGGGGGCGUAUAGCUUACCGAACCGAACCAAACUCCGAAUGCCGAUACUCCAAGCAUGGCAGUCGGACGGUGGGAGAUGAGUUUCAUCGUCGAAAGGGAAACAGCCCAGAUCGUCAGCUAAGGUCCUUAAGUGCAGGCUAAGUGGGAAAGGAUGUGGAGUUACUGGGACAGCCAGGAGGUUGGCUUAGAAGCAGCCAUCCUUUAAAGAGUGCGUAAUAGCUCACUGGUCUAGUGAUUCUGCGCCGAAAAUAUAUCGGGGCUCAAGCCUGCCACCGAAGCUACGAAAGGUUGGGAUCGGUAAAUUGGGAAUUGGUAGAUUGGUCACCAAUCUACUCGCUACCAAUUUACCAAGUUACCAGCCUUGGUAGGGGAGCGUUCUGUCAGCGUCGAAGCCGGACUGUGAGGACCGGUGGAGCGGGCAGAAGUGAGAAUGCCGGCAUGAGUAGCGUAAUACAUGUGAGAACCAUGUACCCCGUAAGUCUAAGGUUUCCGACGGAAGGUUAAUCCGCGUCGGGUUAGUCGGGCCUAAGCCGAGGCCGCAAGGCGUAGGCGAUGGACAACAGGUUAAUAUUCCUGUACCACCUGGAUGGAGUGAUGGGGGGACGCAGGAGGGUAGGUCAGCCUCUUAUUGGAUUGAGGUGCCAAGCCCGUAGGGAGAUGAGGGUCCCAGGAAAAUCCGGGGUCUGAUCCUGAGGGGUGGGCGGUGCUUUUCGGAGCCACAAGUGACUGAGCCCAUACUGCCAAGAAAAGCCUCUAAGCGUUGAAGUCUGGGUGUCCGUACCGAAACCGACACUGGUGGACGGGUAGAGAAUACCAAGGGGAUCGGGAGAACCUUCGUUAAGGAAUUAGGCAAAUUGGAUCCGUAACUUCGGGAGAAGGAUCGCCACGGUAGGGUAAGGUUGACAAGCUUAGCCGAGCCCGAAGUGGCCGCAGAGAAGUGGCCCUACCGACUGUUUACCAAAAUCACAGGUCUCUGCAAACGCGCAAGCGGAUGUAUAGGGGCUGACGCCUGCCCAGUGCCGGAAGGUUAAAGGGAGAGGUCAGGGUCACCUUCGGGUGGCUCGAAGCUUUGAACUGAAGCCCCGGUGAACGGCGGCCGUAACUAUAGACUGGACCGCUGUAGUUACGCAAAUAAACUCAGCCAUAUGCUGGGAACUCCGGGGUAUCCUCUGGUACUCGCUCCACACAGGGAGCAGUGACAACCCAGAGGUGCGGACGAUCAGCAGGAAAGGCUUCACAGGAAGUGGGAAAUGGAUUUGAACGUCAAUCAGGUCCCACCAGAUAUCGGUCACUACCUGGCUGGUUUCGCAGAUGGCGAAGGAAGUUUUAACGUCGUGUUUCGACAACGCGACGACUACCGGAUGCCGUGGAAGGUCUCGCUGUGUUUCAAUGUCUCGCAGAGAGACGAAGUGAUUCUCAGCUUGUUCAAACGGCAUUUGGGGUGUGGCACGAUGCGACAAAGGCAGGAUGGGGUGUGGUACUACGAGGUGAAUAACCAACGCGCCAUCCUGGAGAAUGUGAUACCGUUCUUUGAGCGGUUCAGGUUCUUGUCAGCUAAGAAGAAGCGCGACUUCGCCAAGUUCAAGAAGAUAGCUCGGCUGAUCGCGGAUGAACAACAUCUGGAUCAGGCGGGUAUCCGACAGAUACUGGAGAUCAGAGCGGAUAUGAACGAUGGGGGGGCCGGACGAAGGAAGUACUCGGAUGAGGACAUCCUGAGUCAGUUUUCCAGUGAAGAAUCCUCAGAGACCAUACGCUGAGCAUUUCCUGAGCGAUGUAAGGUGCCGCCAGUCUCAGGAGAUGAUGAGAUGGUCCGAUCUUCGUGGCGACACGAAGGGUCUACCAAAUGGUAGACUGCACUGACCAGGAAGCCGAUGGUCGGUGAAACAUGAUGAACGGUCCUAAGGUAGCGAAAUUCCUUGUCGGGUAAGUUCCGACCCGCACGAAUGGCGUAACGAGUGGGGCACUGUCUCGACGAAGGACCCGGUGAAAUUGAAAUAGGCGUGAAGAUGCGUCUUACCCGCAGCAGGACAAAAAGACCCCGUGGAGCUUUACUGCAGCCUGGUAUUGUGUUAGGGCUGGAUCUGUGUAGGAUAGCUGGGAGACUGGGAAGCUGGGGCGCUAGCCUCGGUGGAGUCGCCGUUGGAAUACCAGCCUGAUUCAGUUUUGACCCUAACCUGCGUCCGUGAUCCGGCGUGGGGACAGUGCCAGGUGGGCAGUUUGACUGGGGCGGUCGCCUCAUAAAGAGUAACUGAGGCGCCCAAAGGUUCCCUCAGGCUGAAUGGAAACCAGCCGUAGAGUGUAAAGGCAUAAGGGAGCUUGACUGCAAGACCAACAAGUCGAGCAGAGACGAAAGUCGGGCUUAGUGAUCCCACGGUUCCGAGUGGAAGGGCCGUGGCUUAACGGACAAAAGCUACCCCGGGGAUAACAGGCUGGUGGCGCCCAAGAGUUCAUAUCGACGGCGCCGCUCGGCACCUCGAUGUCGGCUCGUCGCAUCCUGGGGCUGUAGUAGGUCCCAAGGGUUGGGCUGUUCGCCCAUUAAAGCGGUACGCGAGCUGGGUUCAGACCGUCGUGAGACAGGUCGGUCUCUAUCCGCUGUGGGCGUAGGGGAUUUGCGAGGAGCUGCUCCUAGUACGAGAGGACCGGAGUGGACCGACCGCUGGUGUGCCAGUUGUGGUGCCAACCGCAUUGCUGGGUAGCUAAGUCGGGCAGGGAUAACCGCUGAAAGCAUCUAAGUGGGAAGCUCGCCUCAAGAUAAGAUCCCCCAUCCCAUUCAGGGAGUAAGUGCACUGGAAGACUACCAGUUUGAUAGGCGGCAGGUGUACGCACAGUAAUGUGUUCAGCUUAGCCGUACUAAUGCACGAGGGCUUAAUUCA